rnacentral:pre_miRNA from 1 species
AGAUCAGGAUGAGUGGCAAUAUUGCUAUAUGAUGCCACGAAUAUUGCACUUGUCCCGGUCUGA